CAGAGGUAGAGGUUGUCCAGUAAUUUUCCACCUUGGGGAGGGCAACAAGGGUUCAUAGGACAAAGGAUGGGGAAUAAGGGAAAACUAGGGUCAAGGAAGGGGGAGGGGCUGGAGGAAUGUCUGCAUAAAUUGAGAAUGUAUCCCAUGAAUUAGAACAACACAAGAGCUCCUGAGAGGCCAGGGAGGUACCCCAAUGAACUUCUCUGGUGUUGGCACAAACGCGAGGGAAAAAAGCACACUCUGGACAACACGGAAGGUGAACACUUGGAUUUUUCGAUAGGAUUCCAUAGUAGGAAAGGACAACCAUCUUCGGAAGCAUGAGGAAAUCUAGAACAAUGCAACUGUUUCCAUUCUGGGCUCAGAAUGGAAAGGAUCCCAUAGAAAUCUUUAUUUUCCACCAUGUUUCCUACAUGGUUACAAAGGACAGAAUCUGUGUAUACACCGCGGACCUUGAAAAGUAUGUAUUUUCCCAUCCAAAUUCAAUUUCAAAACACGGACCAAUGCAGUGUUUUGUACAGAUUCUGACUGGAAUAAGCUCAGGGGGAAAAGGCCUGGAAAGCACAUGGCAAAGAAACUCUGAGAGUCCAGACUAUGAUUUAAAAACAAAAAACAUGGGACGUAUCGUCUUUGUGUACCCGUGUAAAUAAUUAUGAUGGUUGAACUCUGCUUAUUUUUCAUCCAACCUAAGUAACAGCUUUGAAAAAGAAAGAUAAGUGACCUGUGUGUAUGAGAGUCCAGAGGGACAGUCUGUGACAGAGCUCACAGGGUUCCCAGGAAGACCAAGAACACGGUCCAACUGAUCUUUCUCUGACAAGACAGGGCUGGGCAGAGGAAGGCGUAAAGAAUGAUUGCACUUGUACAUCGGAAGGUCAGCACACGAGAUCAGAGAGCAAGUCUGUUAUUUCAAAAAUAUAGCCUUCGAAUCCCCAGAGGGUCCAACUGAAGACAAGAGAGAGGUUUUGGCUUCGAGUCCAGGGUGAUGUUUCACAGAAAGUCAACUCUCGUUCCAGGUCUAUCUUAUCAGACUGGGAGAAAGAGACGAAAGCAACCCUACGUCACCACUUUGAGAAAGGAGUUGAGAUCUUGAAAGGGAAUAUGAUUCCACAGCAUAACACAUCUGCUAAAAGAAAUGGCUCAGGUUUUGUGCCUAAGCUGGAUGCUGAGUGGAGGGUCCUGAGAAUAGACGGGAGUUUAGCCUGGCUACUUCAAAUUUCCCUGCUAAUCUUCAAAUUUGAUGAUUCUUUGAUUUGCAUAUGUGUCCUUCCAGAAAAGCCAAGAUAAAUCUUCUCAAAAUCCCCAACAGAGAAUAGAAGUAAAGUGACAUGAUUUUUUUCUCAUUUUCAUUUUCCUUCUAGAAAACUAAUCCCUCCCAUGUUUUUCUCCUUCAUUCAAUUAGUUG